GACAGAGGAUGCAAGCGUUAUCCGGAAUUAUUGGGCGUAAAGCGCGCGCAGGCGGUCCCUUAAGUCUGAUGUGAAAGCCCACGGCUCAACCGUGGAGGGUCAUUGGAAACUGGGGGACUUGAGUACAGAAGAGGAAAGCGGAAUUCCACGUGUAGCGGUGAAAUGCGUAGAGAUGUGGAGGAACACCAGUGGCGAAGGCGGCUUUCUGGUCUGUAACUGACGCUGAGGCGCGAAAGCGUGGGGAGCAAACAGG
rnacentral:rRNA from 1 species